GUUAACACAAGCUUCUUCUGAAGCCCUCAGGAGGCAGGGGAGUAAGUGGGCCCUGUGGUGAACUCUGUCUUGAGUCGGCUCCAUGGGAGUGAGAAGACCUGGCCUACGGCUCUGUGAUCACUGUGAAGAACCUUCGGAUGGCCAUCGGCUAUCUGCACUCCCACAGGCACCUCUAUCCCGAGGGCAUUGGUGCCCGUCAGCAGCAGGUUACCACCUAUUUGCACAAGGACUACAACAACCUGUGGAUUAUCAAGAAACAUAACACAAACUCAGAUCCCCUAGACCCUUCCUUCCCAGUGGAGUUUGUAAGACAUGGAGACAUUAUUCGACUAGAACACAAAGAAACUUCCCGGAACUUGCACAGUCACUAUCAUGAGGCCCCCAUGACCCGGAAGCACUAUCAGGUCACCGGCUAUGGCAUAAAUGGAACAGGGGACUCAAAUGAUUUCUGGCGGAUUGAGGUCGUAAACAGAAAAUUUGGAAACCGGAUCAAAGUGCUGAGAAGUCGAAUUCGCUUCAUCCAUUUGGUCACAGGUUGUGUCCUGGGCUCCUCGGGAAAGGUUCUGCCCAAGUGG
rnacentral:sRNA from 1 species